rnacentral:snoRNA from 1 species
GAGCGAUGAUGUGAAACCUUAGAACCUAAAGCGUGUUUUAAGCUAACGCGCUUCAUGAGGGUUCCUACACUUGAACUGAGCUCA